rnacentral:rRNA from 1 species
AUUGAACGCUGGCGGCAGGCUUAACACAUGCAAGUCGAGCGGAGUGAUGGUGCUUGCACUAUCACUUAGCGGCGGACGGGUGAGUAAUGCUUAGGAAUCUGCCAUUUAGUGGGGGACAACAUUCCGAAAGGAAUGCUAAUACCGCAUACGUCCUACGGGAGAAAGCAGGGGAUCUUCGGACCUUGCGCUAAAUGAUGAGCCUAAGUCGGAUUAGCUAGUUGGUGGGGUAAAGGCCUACCAAGGCGACGAUCUGUAGCGGGUCUGAGAGGAUGAUCCGCCACACUGGGACUGAGACACGGCCCAGACUCCUACGGGAGGCAGCAGUGGGGAAUAUUGGACAAUGGGCGGAAGCCUGAUCCAGCCAUGCCGCGUGUGUGAAGAAGGCCUUUUGGUUGUAAAGCACUUUAAGCGAGGAGGAGGCUACUAGUACUAAUACUACUGGAUAGUGGACGUUACUCGCAGAAUAAGCACCAGCUAACUCUGUGCCAGCCGCCGCCGUAAUAC